CCUACGGGCGGCAGCAGUGGGGGAUAUUGCGCAAUGGGGGAAACCCUGACGCAGCGACGCCGCGUGAGCGAAGAAGGCCUUCGGGUCGUAAAGCUCAGUCAUUGGGGAUGAAAAGGACAGUACCCAAAGAGGAAGCCCCGGCUAACUACGUGCCAGCAGCCGCGGUAAUACGUAGGGGGCGAGCGUUGUCCGGAAUUACUGGGUGUAAAGGGCGUGUAGGCGGGGGUACAAGUUACCGGUAAAAACCCGAGGCUUAACUUCGGGCUUGCCGAUAAAACUGUAUCUCUUGAGUGUAGGAGAGGGAAUCGGAAUUCCCGGAGUAGCGGUGAAAUGCGUAGAUACCGGGAGGAACACCAGUGGCGAAGGCGGAUUCCUGGCCUACAACUGACGCUGAGGCGCGAAAGCUGGGGUAGCAAACGGGAUUAGAUACCCUAGUAGUC
rnacentral:rRNA from 1 species